GGCAGGCGGGUGCUAUACAUGCAGUCGAGCGAAUGGAUUAAGAGCUUGCUCUUAUGAAGUUAGCGGCGGACGGGUGAGUAACACGUGGGUAACCUGCCCAUAAGACUGGGAUAACUCCGGGAAACCGGGGCUAAUACCGGAUAACAUUUUGAACUGCAUGGUUCGAAAUUGAAAGGCGGCUUCGGCUGUCACUUAUGGAUGGACCCGCGUCGCAUUAGCUAGUUGGUGAGGUAACGGCUCACCAAGGCAACGAUGCGUAGCCGACCUGAGAGGGUGAUCGGCCACACUGGGACUGAGACACGGCCCAGACUCCUACGGGAGGCAGCAGUAGGGAAUCUUCCGCAAUGGACGAAAGUCUGACGGAGCAACGCCGCGUGAGUGAUGAAGGCUUUCGGGUCGUAAAACUCUGUUGUUAGGGAAGAACAAGUGCUAGUUGAAUAAGCUGGCACCUUGACGGUACCUAACCAGAAAGCCACGGCUAACUACGUGCCACCAGCCGCGGUAAUACGUAGGUGGCAAGCGUUAUCCGGAAUUAUUGGGCGUAAAGCGCGCGCAGGUGGUUUCUUAACUCUGAUGUGAAAGCCCACGGCUCAACCGUGGAGGGUCUUUGGAAACUGGGAGACUUGAGUGCAGAAGAGGAAAGUGGAAUUCCAUGUGUAGCGGUGAAAUGCGUAGAGAUAUGGAGGAACACCAGUGGCGAAGGCGACUUUCUGGUCUGUAACUGACACUGAGGCGCGAAAGCGU
rnacentral:rRNA from 1 species